UACUUUUGGACACUGAAUUGGAUCGAGAUGGUGAACCGGAAGCCACAGGAGCAUUUGAAGAUCGAGAUAGAUCCCCUCCUCCAGUAGAAAGGUUGGUUAAAGAAGGCCCCAUUUUUGAUGAACUCAUGCUUAAAGAACUCUGGGAUUGGUGACCAGGCGUGGAGAGGGCCUGCAUAUGAACUUUUGCUUGUUGCUGGUGGAGACCGCUGUUCUUCAUCACAAUCAAAUUAGAGGGUGGAGCAGCAGGUGGAGUCGUAGCAGCAGAUGAAGGUGUCCCUCUCCCUGAAGAUGCCUUCAAUUGAGGAGAUUGAACUCCCCCUUGGGUAGCACUUGCAGGGUACAUCAUAUUCUGAAAGCUCGCCAUGUUCAGACGGUCUGGGUACCCACCUGCAUUAUUUGGUGUACUUGGUGCAGCAGAUCUAGGCCGAUUCAGAUGGUGUUGCUGCUGAAUCAUCUGCUGAUGCUUCUGGUGCAUCUGAAGGAAAUGCUGGUGCUGCUGGUGCUGCUGCUGUUGCUGCUGAGAAAUGGUGGACGAAGCUGCAGCUGGUGCAGAUGCAGCGGUGGAAGAACUUGUGGAUUUACUCCCCAUACCAAAGGUGUUUGGAG
rnacentral:lncRNA from 1 species